rnacentral:rRNA from 1 species
CAGGGGUAAACAUGAGAAACCCGAAAGAUCGAAAGGGGGAGAUUCAGCGCGUCUCGCUUAGUCCUGCGAGCGGAGGCCGUGUGACGGAAGGCGUGCUCGCACGUUUUCAGCACCGGCCGCCGCCGACUCGACGCGAACGCGUGCACUUCUCCCCGAGUAGGACGUCGCGACCCGUUGGGCGUCGAUCUAAGGCCCGGGUGGGAGCCCGGUCUGGGCGGCGUUCGCGCCGUCUCAGUUCUCGGACCCCCGGUGUCCCGAUCGACUCGCUCGACGGUAGAAAGUUGGCGCGGAGCGCGUCUUGUACGCGUCCGGCCCGUCGCGAGUGUGGACGGGAAUGUUGCGGUGAUUCGGACCUGGUGCCGAUCCUGCACUCGUCCCGCUUUCGCCGACGGUGUUCUCGGACAGCCUCCGAACACGCCGGUCAGCGACGCUCUAGCUUUGGGUAAUUUCAUGACCCGUCUUGAAACACGGACCAAGGAGUCUAGCAUGUGCGCGAGUCAUUGGGAUCUGCUCGAAACCUAAAGGCGCAAUGAAAGUAAAGGCCGCCUUGUGCGCGCCUAGGGAAGAUGGGAGAUGGCUCACGCCCUCUCCCCGCACUCCCGGGGCGUCUCGUUCUCAUCGCGAGAUGAGGCGCACCCAGAGCGUACAUGCUGGGACCCGAAAGAUGGUGAACUAUGCCCGGUCAGGACGAAGUCAGG